GUGAAUCAUCAAAUCUUUGAACGCAAAUUGCACUCUCUGCUGAGAGUAUGCCUAUUUGAGGGUCAGCCUAAAAAAAACCGACAUAGUCGCUGUUUCGCGGUGACAUUCGUCCGUAAUUGGGUCAUCUUAAACCUUUUGGGUUUAAGCGGCUUAAAAUUUUCUUUACGAUUCCAUGAACGUUUCUAAGAUUUACUUACACGUUUAAGGUAUCGAUUUUUAUUAGACGUGGCCCUUGCAUCCGAUCACGUACAUAUAUAUUUCGUGAACU
rnacentral:misc_RNA from 1 species